UGCAAGGUUGCCUUGCACGCCUGCAGCACGAAUCCACUGGGUGGGCUCUUCCAUUAAGUGCGUUUAGACGAAUCAAGAUCGUGCUGUUCCAGCGAAGCCUAGUAGUGUGCACCACGGAUGAGACCUCGCUGAAUACGAAGCUUUCGUACUCAAUCUUACAUUUUCCCCACUGUUAGUGUAUUGAAUUUUCUAACAGCCUGACGAUUCCCGAAACCCAUUAACCCAAUGAUGGAGUUAUCCUUGAUGUCAGCGCAGACCAGACCAACACAACCAUGACUUAGUCUCUCUGCACUGGUCCAAUCGCUGCUCAGUGCCUUCUGAGUCCAGCGCUCUCCUUUUAAAUCCCCCUCUCUGUGGUGAAUCAGCACUCGCAGCGCAGCCCUCCGGUGAUACAGCAAGUGGUACAGAAGUCUACUGAAACAGCCUACACAUUUUCCGGCUGUGAGUGGGGCCUUCAUGGAUUCCCCGUACAAUGGCAACACGUCCCUCCAGACCUCCACCUCCAACCUCAAUGCCAAC